CCAUUAAUUGAAGAAUAUGUGCUCCAAAACAUAAAUGAUGAUGAGAGCCAGGAGAAUGACUCCUCUGAGGAUAUGGAGUGUAAAUUGCCAUUGCAAUUGGCAAUUGUCGGGCGGCCCAAGGAGCUGGAGGAUUGAUAGAGAUAAUGAGAGCCAGGAGAAUGACUCCUCUGAGGAUAUGGAGUGUAAAUUGCCAUUGCAAUUGGCAAUUGUCGGGCGGCCCAAUGUUGGAAAGUCAACCUUGUUGAACACAAUCUUGCAAGAAGAUCGUGUUUUUGUUGGCCCUGAGGCUGGUUUGACUAGAGAUUCCAUUCGUGCUGAAUUUGAGUACCAAGGAAGAACAAUUUAUUUGGU
rnacentral:lncRNA from 1 species